rnacentral:rRNA from 1 species
AGCAGCCGCGGUAAUUCCAGCUCCAAUAGCGUAUAUUAAAGUUGUUGCAGUUAAAAAGCUCGUAGUUGAAUUUCGGGGUUAGUAGGUUGGUCAUGCCUCUGGUAUGUACUGGUCUCACUGAUUCCUCCUUCCUGAUGAACCGUAAUGCCAUUAAUUUGGUGUUGCGGGGAAUUUGGACUGUUACUUUGAAAAAAUUUAGAGUGUUUAAAGCAAGCUAACGCUUGAAUACAUUAGCAUGGAAUAAUGAAAUAGGACGUUCGAUCCUAUUUUGUUGGUUUCUAGGAUUGACGUAAUGAUUAAUAGGGAUAGUUGGGGGCAUUAGUAUUCAAUUGUCAGAGGUGAAAUUCUUGGAUUUAUUGAAGACUAACUACUGCGAAAGCAUUUUGCCAAGGAUGUUUUCAUUAAUCAAGAACGAAAGCUAGGGGAUCGAAGACGAUCAGAUACCGUCGUAGUCUUAACCAUAAACUAUGCCGACUAGGGAUCGGAUGAUGUUAAUUUUUUAAUGACUCACUCGGCGCCU